CCUACGGGUGGCUGCAGUGGGGAAUAUUGGUCAAUGGGCGCGAGCCUGAACCAGCCAAGUAGCGUGAAGGAUGACUGCCCUACGGGUUGUAAACUUCUUUUAUAAAGGAAUAAAGUGAGGCACGUGUGCCUUUUUGUAUGUACUUUAUGAAUAAGGAUCGGCUCACUCCGUGCCAGCAGCCGCGGUAAUACGGGGGAUGCAAGCGUUAUCCGGAUUUAUUGGGUUUAAAGGGUGCGUAGGCUGUGAGGUAAGUCAGCGGGGAAAUGCCCCCGCUCAACGGGGUGAAGUGCCAUUGAUACUGGCUGGCUGGAAUGCGGAUGCCGUGGGAGGAAUGUGUGGUGUAGCGGUGAAAUGCAUAGAUAUCACACAGAACACCGAUUGCGAAGGCAGCUCACGAAUCCGCGAUUGACGCUGAUGCACGAAAGCGUGGGUAUCAAACAGGAUUAGAUACCCUGGUAGUC
rnacentral:rRNA from 1 species